rnacentral:rRNA from 1 species
UUAUGACGUUAGCGGCGGACGGGUGAGUCACACGUGGGCAAUUGCCUGUAAACUGGGAUAACUUCGGGAGAUCGAACUAAUACCGGAUAGGAUCUACUUUUAUGGGAGAUGAUUGAAAGAUGGUUUCGGCUAUCACCACAGAUGGGCUCGCGGUGCAUUAGCUAGUUGGUGAGGUAACGGCUCACCAAGGCAACGAUGCAUAGCCACCUGAGAGGGUGAUCGGCCACACUGGGACUGAGACACGGCCCAGACUC